UACGGGGGGGGGCAAGCGUUGUUCGGAAUUAUUGGGCGUAAAGCGCUUGUAGGCGGCCUGUCAAGUCGCGUGUGAAAUCCCCUGGCUUAACCAGGGAAGUGCGCGCGAAACUGAAGGGCUUGAGUGCCGGAGAGGGUCGCGGAAUUCCCGGUGUAGAGGUGAAAUUCGUAGAUAUCGGGAGGAACACCAGUGGCGAAGGCGGCGACCUGGACGGACACUGACGCUGAGACGCGAAAGCGUGGGGAGCAAACAGG
rnacentral:rRNA from 1 species